AUCAAUAACGAAGUAAAUAAAAAAUCAAAAACCAUUAAAAACAAAAAUCGAGCAGACCAUUUCCCUUCCUCUCCUAGGAUGAAGACGUGGGAAGGAUUUCCCAGCGCUCACCUGAGGGAGGGGACAGGGCAGAGCCCACCCCAGGCUGCAGCUCGGUCCGGGCAGUGCCGAACCUCGCGCUGGGGGUCCGGACCCUGGGACAGGGUGGCAUCGGGAGCCACAAACCACAGCAGCCGCGGCCACAUCCUGCUCCCGCGACUCCCUGCGCCGAAUCCUGAGGGAGCCGGGGGUCCCGCAGGGAUCUGGGGGUGCCUCAUCACCCCCGGCUGUCGCAAGCAGGGUCUGACCCCCCAGUCAGACACCCCGCAGAGGGAAUUCCCACGAGGAAACCAGCGAUCCCCAAACCCGUGCCAGGGCAGGGAACCAGAUCCCACGAGCCGCUGUCCGGAGGGGAGGGGGCCAGACACGGCCAAGGUCAGCGGCGGGGGCCAGGGCUGCGCUCGGGUUUCCCUCCCGGCCCAGCGCCACGUCCCAAAGCCACCGGUCUGGAAAGCUCCGCUCCAGGCGCUAUGGCAGGGCGGCUUCCCACAGCACGCUCUCCCCAAAACAAGAGCCUCCCGAAAUCCGGAGCCUGCCCGCGCUGGGUCAAGCUCCGGCAGGGAGUUGUGCCAAGGGAUUUAAAAAUCAGGCCCUGACACACGGGAUUUAAAAAAAAAAAAAAAAAAAAAAAAAAAAAAAAAAAAAAAAAAAAAGGAGUUCUGUGGUUCCAGUAAGGCUUCGUGCGUUUGUUUCCGCAGUCCAGGUGCCGUGUGUGUCCGCACCACGUCACGGGGCGUCUCUCUGCAGCGCUCUGCCCGCCAGGGCGCAGCCUCAAAUCCCCAAAUUGAGAAGGAAUUAAAAAUAAAACCAACAAAACCAAACAAUUUGGGGCUCACAAAGCCCCGGGAUUUAGGCCAUCCAAUCUUUUUCUUUUUUUUUUUUUUUUUUUCUCCUUUUUUUUUUUUUUUUUCCUCUUGUUAAGAUAUUUAUUAGGGUAGCUUACAGUGUUAACACUAAAUUGCAGUUUACAGUGUUUCUACAUUACAGCCAUAUGACAUCAAGCCUUUGAUUGUCUGUUUUUCUUUCUUUUGCUAGUUCUUUUGGCUUGCCUUCCUGAGCAGUCCUGGCCUGUGGACUGGCUUUAGCUAUUCUGUGUCGCCCAAGGCAAGAAGAUCGCCCGCCCGAGGAACAUCAAAGCUGCUCUAGUUUUUUGGUCAACAGCUUAACAGGUGCUUGGCUAGCGGCUGUUUCAACUAUUUUAAGUCCACAGCAAAAGGUUUAAGAACUUAAUUAGACAAGGGGGAAGUGUUUAAACUUAAAGAAAAAAAAAUGCCACUUAAAUAAUAAAAAAAAAAUAAUAAAAAAAAAUUAAAAAAAAAUAUUGAGCAUUCAGGUCUGUAUGUCAUGUACUGUGUUUGGUAUUUCAAAAGACCAUCCUGGUUUAAGGUGCCACAGCUGCUUCCUCAGGGAUUGCACUGCCAUUUCACUCUGCCUGACUUUCUCCCACUGUACCAUGAGGUUUGUCAGCAGAUCUCCAGCACCCAGGCUCCCUUGUUUGUCACCAGGGAAGCCAGGUGCGUUUUCCUUUCUCCUGGGGAAGCUUGUGGUGUAAUGAGUGAACUUCAGGAGCUUAGAAACUAAUUUGGUAGAGAAAUUCCUCAAGAGGAAGAGCUACAAUCAUAGACAUUUCUAUCCACCAUCGGGAGCCCAGGAACUUAGUUCUCUUCUUAGCAAAAUCUUUUCCAAGUCUGUCUGAUCUGGCUGGGGGUGGGGGACGGGUCAUCUGAGUUGCUUAGCAGGUAAUAUUUACCCCAUUUUGAGUAAGUUUAGCUUUGAUUUUGAUUUUCCCAUGGUUGUUGUUGGAGGUUCACUGCCGUUCUCUGGCUCGCAGAGCGCUGCGCCCUGCGGCGCUUCACCCAACGCUGUGCAGUGAGAGGAAACCGCACUCGUGCUUUUAUUCUUUAUUAAACAUUGGUCUGAUUUUGGAAACAGGCUUUCAUUGUCCCUUUGAGAGUCAGCCCGACACGGCGUCGUGGUGUGGCACACACGGCACAGCCGCUCCUGCUGCCGGGGCGUGCGGGGGGACGCGGCUCCGGCUCCCUCCCCGCUGUCCCGAAGCCGCUGCCCGGCUCCCCCAGGAGCGAGCGGGGCCAGGCCGUGCUCAGCCCCCGGACACUGCCCCGGUGGUGCUGGAAUAGCUUUUCCUGGCCGGGAUUCAUCCACCCAAAGUCAGGCCCAGGCGCUUUGCAGGGAUUUGGGGUGCAGCAUCCCGCGGCGAGGGGCCCGCGGUGCCAGUGCGUGCCGGGACCGGGAGAUGCUUUAGGCUUCUUACCUCCCUCUCAUCAACCCCCGUGUCCCGUGAGCAGUGUUGUCCCAGCUGUACAAUUUGGAAGUGAUUUACUGGAAUUACAAAACCUAUCUUUUUUUUUUUUUUUUUUUAAAUUACUACUCUUUUUGGCUUUUGCUCUGGCUGCUUUAGGAAACUUAUGCAGGAGAGAUGGCACAAGAGGGCUAAAAACGGAGUGGGGGUCAGGGACUUGAUUUUUAAGCAGCUUGAAUGGUUUCUUUCAUUUUUUAAGAGAUGCACUUGCCUAUGAUACUGUCUCUCCAGUGAAAUGAUUACUGCUCCAUUACUCUAUUGAUACAAUAUUGUGCAUGCUAGUGUCGUAUUUCUAUACAGUAGCUUGAAAUUUAUUAACUUAUACUGUAGAUGUUAUGUAUUCCUAUGACAAAAUAGUCUUCAAAAAUUUUCUAAAGUUUUUUAAUUUAUUUUUCUUUCCUUUUUUUUUUUCGGGGGUAAAGUUUGCUCUACCAAAUAGUGAUCGUAACAAACUGAUCUGUUAUGGAUGUUGCUAUAGUGACAUGCAAUUAUAUAUGAUUUUGUUUUUAAAAAGGAAAAAAAAAAAAGCAAAAGAAAACACCAGUGUUAGCUUAAUCUUAAUGUCUGGUGUUCGUCAUGGUGAAAUUAUAACUAUUACAGUGUAGGAGAACAAUGACUGUGUUCUUUGAAUGAGCCUUUGUUUGUGCUUUUUGUCAUGUUAUGCAGUGAACUAUUUUUAAGGUCUAAUCAGUGAUUAUUUUUCCAACUCCGUGUUUCUGUAAGGAAUUAUUUCACACACGGACCAUUCUUAGCAGUUUUUCCUCAGUGAUGGAAUAUCAUGAAUGUGAGUCAUUAUGUAGCCGUCGUACAUUGAGCAAAUAAACUUACAGAUCUGACGUCAGCGCUGCUUAA